GGUUAAAGGUACCCGUACCGCAAACCGACACAGGUGGGUGAGGAGAGUAUCCUAAGGCCCGCGAGAGAACUGUUGUUAAGGAACUCGGCAAAAUGACCCCGUAACUUAGGGAUAAGGGGUGCCACCAGCCGGUGGCCGCAGAGAAUAGGCCCAAGCGACUGUUUACCAAAAACAUAGGUUUCUGCUAAGUCGCAAGACGAUGUAUAGGAGCUGACGCCUGCCCGGUGCUGGAAGGUUAAGGGGAUCUGUUAGAGCAAUCGAAGCAGUGA
rnacentral:rRNA from 1 species